rnacentral:rRNA from 1 species
AUUGAACGCUGGCGGCAGGCCUAACACAUGCAAGUCGAACGGUAACAGGAAGCAGCUUGCUGCUUUGCUGACGAGUGGCGGACGGGUGAGUAAUGUCUGGGAAACUGCCCGAUGGAGGGGGAUAACUACUGGAAACGGUAGCUAAUACCGCAUAACGUCGCAAGACCAAAGAGGGGGACCUUAGGGCCUCUUGCCAUCGGAUGUGCCCAGAUGGGGUUAGCUAGUAGGUGGGGUAACGGCUCACCUAGGCGACGAUCCCUAGCUGGUCUGAGAGGAUGACCAGCCACACUGGAACUGAGACACGGUCCAGACUCCUACGGGAGGCAGCAGUGGGGAAUAUUGCACAAUGGGCGCAAGCCUGAUGCAGCCAUGCCGCGUGUAUGAAGAAGGCCUUCGGGUUGUAAAGUACUUUCAGCGGGGAGGAAGGGAGUAAAGUUAAUACCUUUGCUCAUUGACGUUACCCGCAGAAGAAGCACCGGCUAACUCCGUG